UCGCUCCUACCGAUUGAGUGAUCCGGUGAAUAAUUCGGACUGACGCAGUGCUCAGCUUCUGAAUGUUGCGUUGGAAAGUCUAGUGAACCUUAUCACUUAGAGGAAGGAG
rnacentral:rRNA from 1 species